rnacentral:sRNA from 1 species
GGUUAAUUUGGGGCGUUGAGUAUUCAUAGCUUAUCGAAAAGCAACUGGAAAUCGUUUUGUAUGCAAGUGAAGCUUUUGUGUGAAGCUUUUGUGACAUGUGUGGAGAAGAACCCCUUAGCUAGCCUUCCAUUAUCCAUUCAACCCAAAUUUGUUUAAAAUCUAUUUAAGUUUUUAGUUUAUUCGUUUUUACUUUCAACUUCACCAAACUCAAAUCCCCCUUUUACUUUCUUGUUUUAAAAUCUUUUGUUUACAUUUUUAACUUUGUUUCUUUUUGUUUUUGAGUCAGUUUAGAGGUUUUAGCAAGCCCUCCUAAUCCCCGGUUUAGAACGAUCCCUACUUACAUACUUUGCUACAAUUGUCAAAAAGAGGGUUUAAUUUGUGUGUCAAGUAAUUCUCGCAUC